UACAGAGGCCCCAAGCGUUACUGAGAAUCACUGGGUUUAAAGGGUGCGUAGGUGGCGCGUUAAGUCCGUUGAGAAAUCCCUGGGCUCAACCCAGGAAUUGCUUCGGAUACUGGCGUGCUUGAGGCCGGUAGGGGUCACUGGAACUGACGGUGGAGCGGUGAAAUGCGUAGAUAUCGUCAGGAACGCCGAUGGUGAAGACAGGUGACUGGGCCGGAACUGACACUGAGGCACGAAAGCGUGGGGAGCGAACGGG
rnacentral:rRNA from 1 species